rnacentral:rRNA from 1 species
AUUGAACGCUGGCGGCAUGCCUUACACAUGCAAGUCGAACGGUAACAGGUCUUCGGAUGCUGACGAGUGGCGAACGGGUGAGUAAUACAUCGGAACGUGCCCGAUCGUGGGGGAUAACGAGGCGAAAGCUUUGCUAAUACCGCAUACGAUCUACGGAUGAAAGCGGGGGAUCUUCGGACCUCGCGCGGACGGAGCGGCCGAUGGCAGAUUAGGUAGUUGGUGGGAUAAAAGCUUACCAAGCCGACGAUCUGUAGCUGGUCUGAGAGGAUGAUCAGCCACACUGGGACUGAGACACGGCCCAGACUCCUACGGGAGGCAGCAGUGGGGAAUUUUGGACAAUGGGCGAAAGCCUGAUCCAGCCAUGCCGCGUGCAGGAUGAAGGCCUUCGGGUUGUAAACUGCUUUUGUACGGAACGAAAAGCCUCUUUCUAAUAAAGAGGGGUCAUGACGGUACCGUAAGAAUAGGCACCGGCUAACUACGUG